AAUACAUCUAACUUUAGUCAUUCUAUCCUAAAAAAUAUUUUAACUUAAUUUCUUGGUGACUAAGCUCCAAAAGCCAUGACCCCCUCCCCCAAAGUGACACCACCAGCUUCAUUUCUCCUUCUUCCUUGGUCUAGAACUCCUGAGAAAAAAAGCUAGAAACUCUAUGGAUCCUCCAAGCUUUAAGAUUUUAUAAGGUAUGAUGAAGUAUUUUGGCUGUUCUCCUUCCUUGAAGUUUCGGCCAUGAGAAACCAUGGAAAAAACUUGAUGUUAUUGUUGUUCUUGGUGGCGAAAUCAUAUCUAAAAGUCUUAUGGAGCAAAAAACCAUCAAUUUCAGCUUGAGAAAGACAUGAGUUCUUUUCCUUAAGCUACUGGAGGUGCAGAGGACAAUGUUUGCCUUUUGACAACAUCCAGCUUGGUCCGAGUUUUGAAGACCUAGAACGUAUUUUCUCUCGCUUUUGUAGUCUAUAUACAGGGAUUAAGUGAGUAUAAAGUCUAGGCCAGCUUGGGUACCAACUUAAGGACUUCUUGAACAUGUUAGGGCCUAAGAUGUUGUGUGUGCGUGUGUAUUUAUUAUCUAACUACUUCUUGGGGUGUCUUAACUGAGAUCUAAACACUGCUAACGGCUGGAUGACUGAGUACUAUUAACUCACACGAGAUGUAUAUAUUUGUGUGGUUGCUUAUAACUAUUCUGUCUAUUAUUAUUU